ACUAUAGUAUGUUGACAGCCAAUUAAAACACACGUUAAAAAUAAUUCAUUAAGUCUAUUUGUGUGAAGUUUUCCUUCUCUGAAGCGAUUACUGAAUUGCAUUAAAAUGAUUCUCCAAUAUAUUUACAACUUAUUUGCUCCUUGUAGGGUCGAGGAGACUGUGCAAUAAAUUUUGUUCACGGGACCAAAGUGAAAUUACCUGUUGAGACUUUCACGAUCAACGUCAACACAAGGAUUUCUUUGAUUCUAUGCAGUGAUCAACAAUGCUACAAGCAUGGGACAUAUACUUCUGGUCCUGAACAGUCAACUCUCACCUUUGCUGUGAAAAUCGAAUUUCAGCACCAGAUCACCUGCGUGAUGACAACGCUCUGGUUUGAUUUUGGCUGGGAAAUGCCAAUGAUUUUUAAUCUUUGUCGACCCGAUUGAGAUUGAAUGAACGCGAACACAGCAACAAUUGAUUUCAAGGUUGAGAAAACCGAAGCUCGCAAGAUGGCCGCCCCCUUGACUCUCCACGCGCGUUGGACCGGCACAAAGGCUCUGAUGACGCGACGCCAAGCUCCCAAGCGACACUCUCAACUUUGUUGCGCGCAGUUCGAAAUCGGACACCCGCCUUUGUCGCGAGUAUAACGCGUGCUUCUACUCCGAAAGGAAUUUUUCUUUCUUUUUCUUUUUCUUUUUAAUAACUUCGCGUACACUUGUUUCACUUCACAAUUAAUUUAAUUUUUAAACUUUUCUUUUAGGACGCGGACACUGAUUUUAACCGUUUAUUUCAUUCUUGUUAAUGGGCCAAAUUCACUCGCGUAAUAUUUAGUUUUUAUUCGAAAUUUGUUCUAAUUCAAUAUAUUAAUUUUUAGAUAUUCAUGCAAAAAUCAAGAGUUGGACAAGAGAGAAUAAAACUUAGAUCGUGUCGGCCCAAGAAUCUCGGUGGGACCUCAAUUUUGUUACGGGAGAAUUUCGAUAAUUCUCUCUCAAAAAAUAUUAUUUAUUCUAACGAGUUUGGUGGGGACGAACAACUAUACAGUUAUCGAGCAAAUGCAUAAAUGGUCAAGUUAUACGAUUUGCUCCCACGAUCGACUUUCUUAUUCUCUCCUUUAAUUUUGUUAUUUGCGUGGUCCUGUUUAUAAUUUACUUUAAUUUCUUACCUUAUUCCUUUUUCUUAACAUUCUGCUUCAAGGAAUCCGAUUUCUCCAAAUGAUUUAUUUAAUAAUUCCAGGGGAUUGGUUUUGAUUCUGUUCAAGAUUUUCUGAAGAUCUUGGAAUCUAGUUUUAAGUAGUUCUUAAGUAGUUCUAAGUAGUAUGUAUCAUACUGGACCUAUGUACAGGUAGCUGUGUCUACCUCUAUAGGAUGUUUUGGCUGCCUCGGACAUAUCAAGUAUGUCCGGAGGUUAGCAAACAUGUAUUACAUGUAUUACUUGUAUUACUCUGGUAAAUAAAUAAAUAAAUAAAUUGGACAAAAUGAA